rnacentral:lncRNA from 1 species
UUAAGGGUUGAUUCAUUUUGUAGCAUGUAUCAGAACUUCUUUAUUUUGUAUGGCUGAAUUAUAUUGCAUUGUAUGGAUAUACCUUGCUCUGUGUGUGUGUGUGUGUGUGUGUGUGUGUGUCUGUGUGUGUGAUUUUUAAGACAGAAUCUCCAUAAGUAGCCCAGCUGCCCUUGAACUCAUGAUCCACCUGCCUUACCCUUUCCAGUGCUGGGAUUAUAGGUAUGUGCCGCCAUGGCCAGCUGGGAUAUACCACUUUUUAAUCCAUUUAUUCAUCAAUCAGCAUUUGAUUUUUUCCCCUACUUUUUACUUAUUAUAUGACUAGUGCUGCAAGUGAACUUUGUUUUACAACUGAGUUCCUAUUUUCUUUUUCUUUGGUGCUGGGGGUUUAACCCAUGACACCAUGUAUGUUAGCCAUGCACUCUUCCACUGAGUUACAGCCUCAGCCUUCUGAGUUGAUUUUGCAUAUGGUGUAAGGUAAGAGUCCAACUUCAUUCUUUUGCAUGUGGAUAUAAAGUUUCCCUGCUAGCAUUAAUUGAAAAGACUCCUUUCUCUUCUGAAUAGUCCUGGCACCCUUGUUAAAAACUCUUUGACCACAUAGCUGAGGGUUUAUUUCUUGACUGUAUCACUAUUCCAGAAUCACAGUGUUUAUGUCUCCCUCUAUCUAGGUGGCUUCUGGGUCCAGUUUUAUGGAACCCAGAAGCCCAGCUUUGUUCUUUUAAAGGUAGCAGUACAGAAGAGCACCACAGAAGUCAUGUGGGAGCUGACAGAGGUGGCGCAAGAGCUUGUGAACAUUGUCAAGAACCUUCAGAACCAGAGAGCCCUUUCAGAAACUGGAAUAGAGAAGGAAUCAAGCAUCCUGGGCAUGGCCCCUUCUUCUGGAGAGUAAGUUUCCUUGGCUUCUAUGAAGCACGUGACAUCCAACACAUCUGAGGGAAAAAUGAGCAAUAUUCUCUGCCACCUGGAAGAAACUCAGGAAAAAUUACGGGGACACGUCACAUGGAAAGAAGCUCCUGCAGAGCACACACACGGUGAGUUGAUUUUGUUUAAUGGGGAAGGCUAAUCUGGAAGU